UAGGGAAUCUUCGGCAAUGGGGGCAACCCUGACCGAGCAACGCCGCGUGAGUGAAGAAGGUUUUCGGAUCGUAAAGCUCUGUUGUAAGAGAAGAACGUGUGUGAGAGUGGAAAGUUCACACAGUGACGGUAACUUACCAGAAAGGGACGGCUAACUACGUGCCAGCAGCCGCGGUAAUACGCAGGUCCCGAGCGUUGUCCGGAUUUAUUGGGCGUAAAGCGAGCGCAGGCGGUUUAAUAAGUCUGAAGUUAAAGGCAGUGGCUUAACCAUUGUUCGCUUUGGAAACUGUUAAACUUGAGUGCAGAAGGGGAGAGUGGAAUUCCAUGUGUAGCGGUGAAAUGCGUAGAUAUAUGGAGGAACACCGGUGGCGAAAGCGGCUCUCUGGUCUGUAACUGACGCUGAGCCUCGAAAGCGUGGGGAGCAAACAGG
rnacentral:rRNA from 1 species